rnacentral:rRNA from 1 species
UAGGGAAUCUUCCACAAUGGACGAAAGUCUGAUGGAGCAACGCCGCGUGAGUGAAGAAGGUUUUAGGAUCGUAAAACUCUGUUGUUGGAGAAGAACAGGGACUAGAGUAACUGUUAGUCCUUUGACGGUAUCCAACCAGAAAGCCACGGCUAACUACGUGCCAGCAGCCGCGGUAAUACGUAGGUGGCAAGCGUUGUCCGGAUUUAUUGGGCGUAAAGCGAGCGCAGGCGGUUUUUUAAGUCUGAUGUGAAAGCCUUCGGCUUAACCGAAGAAGUGCAUUAGAAACUGGGAAACUUGAGUGCAGAAGAGGACAGUGGAACUCCAUGUGUAGCGGUGAAAUGCGUAGAUAUAUGGAAGAACACCAGUGGCGAAGGCGGCUGUCUGGUCUGUAACUGACGCUGAGGCUCGAAAGUAUGGGGAGCGAACAGG